AUGCCUUUUUCGGCCUUUGGGCAAAGAUCAGGUGUAGUAUCGGUUAUUAUCAGUUUAAUAUCCGAUACGUGAGUCAUCGACCCACAUGAUAUUAAUUUCUUCUUCUUUUUUUUUUUUUGGAGAAUCAAUCUUUAGCUUGCUAAAGAAUCAAUCGAAUAAGCUUGGAAAUUGUCAAAUUGGAGCACUCAAC
rnacentral:snRNA from 1 species